GGAAGAACCUUGGGAAGUUCAACAGAAGCUUUUUAUUGCUUUAGUAUUUUUUGGAUUUCUGUCUAGAGACCUGCUGUGCCCUCUAAAGUAUCUUCAGGAAGUCCCUGAAAUGGACCAGAUUCACUAGGCCCCUCCCUGCCAGAAAAAGCAGUAAAGGCUGAGAGUCUCUUUAGGACAGAUGAAGCUGAACUGCAAAGAAGACUCUGAGAACAGAUCAGUUGCCUGGAAGAAGCAGAGACCAGCAGAGCUGCCCGGAAGGGGUUUAGACCAACUGAAUGACUUGGAAAGGACAUUCUCCAACCUGUCAUGCUGACUGCAGGCUGUGCAGUUUCCCAGCUUUGUGAGCUGUCACCCAUGCUGGGGUGGGCAUUGGCGAAGCAGCUGCCCCUCAAUCCCAUUCCUGGUAUCCAGGCACUCACUGUUGAGCAGCUGGCUGGACUGGAUGGCGUGCAGCUUAACCAGGGCAGUGGCAGGGAUUACACUUGCGAUGCAAGUGUUUUAUCAUGGAGGGAUCUUCCCAAGCUCCUUGUCUACAUUUUAUUCCAAGAUGCAGCCUCACCGAGAUGCCAGAACUAGCAAGGAACUCCUCAUGUAUCCGCGGCUGCCUUAGACCUUGUGAUUGGCUCUUUGUCUCAUCUACGUCGAGAAUGAAGACCAUUCUCAGCAUCCCAGAAAAUGUCGGCAUCACUCUGAAGGGGCGCACAGUCAAUGAGGCCCCAGGGGAACCCUGUGGAGGGACUUCAGUCACAUCAGUGUAGAGCUGAGUCUUCUUGGGAAGAAAAAGAAGAGGCUCCGGGCUGACAAAUGGUGGGGUAGCAGAAAGGAACUGGCCACCGUCAGAACCACCUGCAGUCAUGUUCAGAACACGAUCAAGGGCGGUU
rnacentral:lncRNA from 1 species